AUGCUUUUCUUUAAUCUUGUUUUCUUUCCUCCUUAACAGUUGAACCUACAGGUGACAGACCAAUCCAGAGCGUAUUCAUUUGCGGAUGAAGGUUUCCUGCCUCUGGCAUGUGAAUGAGGGCCUGCUUCUCCUUCCCCUUCCGCCAUGAUGCUCAGGGAUCUUACGGCGUGGCUGCUGCAGGGAAGUCAGACCACCUACUUGGAGGCUCAGGGGCCUCGCUCUGGAAGCAGGAGGCGGAAGCCUCUAAUCUUGGGCCUGGCAAUUGGCACAACCUUACUUCUGCCCUAUUCAAUUGUUCAAGCAAUCACAGAACCCUCCUGGCUUUAGCAGGAGGGGGCAUGGACCCCACAUCUUAAUGGGAGCAAUGGCGAAGAAUUUAUAGUCGUCUUUAAUCUGUCAUACCCGCUGAGAAGAAAUACAUUUUCUGCCACCAGAAAGGUUGAAAGUCACAUGUGUUUUUCUCUUACAUCAUCGUUCUUCUGAAGUGAUGGCAACAGCUCAGCCCAGCUGCCACCUGAUUGGGCAAAGGGUCCUAGAAGAAGGAAAUAUAGAAGGGGAAGAAUCUUGGCUAUUUAAAAAUGUCAUUGCAUGCAUUUAUGCAACCAAGAAAUCCACAGAGUCAAAUAAUAUGUAACAAUUCAGAAAGAUCUUCAGAAAGAUCUUUUUACAAUUUUUCCUUUUCUAAAAAAAUAUAUUUUUUCUUUUGAGACAGUCUUGCUCUGUCGCCCAGCCUAGCUAUUUUUGCAUAUAGCUCUCAAUACUUAUGUAUUCAUGUUUUAAAAAGUAAUAUACUGUAAACACAUUUUGUAACCAGGUUUGUAUGCUUACCAUCUUAUCUUCAAAAGACCUUGAUUCACUGCAACUUCUGCCUCCUGGGUUCAAGUGAUUCUCUGUCUCAGCCUCCCAAGUAGCUGGGAUUACAUGUGUGUACCAUCAUGCCUGGCUAAUUUUUUUGUAUUUUUAAUGGAGACCAGGUUUCACUAUGUUGGCCAGGCUGGUCUCAAACUCCUGGCCUCAAGUGAUCCUCCUGUCUCAGCCUCCCAAAGUGCUGGGAUUACAGGCAUGAGCCACUGCGCCCAGCC
rnacentral:lncRNA from 13 species